rnacentral:rRNA from 1 species
GACGAACGCUGGCGGCGUGCUUAACACAUGCAAGUCGAACGGAAAGGCCCUGCUUUUGUGGGGUGCUCGAGUGGCGAACGGGUGAGUAACACGUGAGUAACCUGCCCUUGACUUUGGGAUAACUUCAGGAAACUGGGGCUAAUACCGGAUAGGAGCUCCUGCUGCAUGGUGGGGGUUGGAAAGUUUCGGCGGUUGGGGAUGGACUCGCGGCUUAUCAGCCUGUUGGUGGGGUAGUGGCUUACCAAGGCUUUGACGGGUAGCCGGCCUGAGAGGGUGACCGGCCACAUUGGGACUGAGAUACGGCCCAGACUCCUACGGGAGGCAGCAGUGGGGAAUAUUGCACAAUGGGCGGAAGCCUGAUGCAGCAACGCCGCGUGCGGGAUGACGGCCUUCGGGUUGUAAACCGCUUUAGCCUGUGACGAAGCGUGAGUGACGGUAAUGGGUAAAGAAGCACCGGCUAACUACGUG